CACGUAGGGGGCGAGCGUUGUCCGGAUUUAUUGGGCGUAAAGAGCUCGUAGGCGGCUCAGUAAGUCAGGUGUGAAAACUCCAGGCUCAACCUGGAGACGCCACCUGAUACUGCUGUGGCUAGAGUCCGGUAGGGGAGCAUGGAAUUCCUGGUGUAGCGGUGAAAUGCGCAGAUAUCAGGAGGAACACCAGUGGCGAAGGCGGUGCUCUGGGCCGGAACUGACGCUGGAGGAGCGAAAGCGUGGGGAGCAAACAGG
rnacentral:rRNA from 1 species